rnacentral:snRNA from 1 species
UAAUCUUCUUGGCCUUUUGGCUAAGACUAAGUGUAAGAUGUGUUCUUAUCAAUUUAAAGUCUGAUACAUCCCCUAUAGGAGGACAAUAUAUUAACCACCACUCAUCUGUCAGUUUGUUGUACUGUGGUGGCCUGUGUGUUGCUGUGUUGCUGGAAGCCAUGCUACCAGUA